GUAACGCGUGGUUAUGUGCCCCUGGGACUGGGAUAGCGUCGGGAAACUGGCGGUAAUACCAGAUAAUAUCUGAGGAUCAAAUGGUGAGAUUCCGCCCAGGGAUCAGACCGCGUUCUAUUAGCUUGUUGGCGGGGUAAUGGCCCACCAAGGCUGAGAUGGAUACCGGGUGUGAGGGCAUGGCCCGGCUCACUGGGACUGAGACACUGCCCAGACACCUACGGGUGGCUGCAGUCGAGAAUCUUCGGCAAUGGGCGAAAGCCUGACCGAGCGACGCCGCGUGCGGGAUGAAGGCCCUCGGGUUGUAAACCGCUGUCAGUUGGGAGGAAAUAUCAGGGGGUUCUCCCCUUGGUUUGACCGAUCUUCAGAGGAAGGACGGGCUAAGUUCGUGCCAGCAGCCGCGGUAAGACGAACCGUCCAAACGUUAUUCGGUAUCACUGGGCUUAAAGCGUUCGUAGGCGGCCUAGAAGGUGAGGUGUGAAAGCCCUCGGCUCAACCGAGGAAUUGCGCUUCAAACCACUAGGCUCGAGGGAGACAGGGGUGAUGGGAACUGUUGGUGGAGCGGUGAAAUGCGUUGAUAUCAACAGGAACACCGGUGGCGAAAGCGCAUCACUGGGUCUUUACUGACGCUGAGGAA
rnacentral:rRNA from 1 species